rnacentral:lncRNA from 1 species
CAGAAGAGGUUUUAUUUUAUUUCCAAAUAUAUCUUCAUUUGUUUAAAAUAUUGAAUUGAACAAAUAUCUUUUCCAGUUCUAACAUGGAGAAAAAAAAAUCAAAAAUUUCAAAUGAACAAAAUUUCAGAGUCAGCCGUUGUAAUACAGGGAAGUUCUUAGGAAUUCCCAGAAAAGCAUAACAAUUUAACAGCUUAAAUUUAGUGAGAUCAAAGUUCAAAGUACUCAAUAUUUUACAGACUUAGAUGUUCCUGUUCUGAAAUCAAAACAGUGAUUCAGCUCCUGUGUCUAUUUUUCUUCAGGAUUUAUUUUCUUUUUCAGUGUUCAAUGUUCUUUUGUACACUCUGGGAAACUCAGUAGAGAAAAAGUAUACUUUUGUUUUAGAAAGAUAAUUUCAGUUAUUUACUGCUAAAUUAUCCUAAAGCAUCCCUGGACACAAGGAGAAUAAGUGCUUUCAAGAUGAUCUAACACACAACUUAAACUAUAGUGCAAAGGAAACAAGAAAAACAAGCUGUAUUCAAAGAUACAGAUUAAGUACUCAGAGACCCUACUGGUUGGGAUGUCACACAAACAUGACUCCAUUUUCCCCUACAGCAUUCCUGUAUUCUUAUAUAAUUGUUUUUUUGUAAACUUGCACAAGUUACUUAAGCUCUCUUAAUUUUCAUUUCCCCCAUUGGUUUCCUGGUCAAGUUUUAACACACAGUAGGUUCUCAGGAAAUACUUGUUCAAAGGCCGGGUGUGGUGGCUCAUGCUUGUAAUCCCAGCACUUUGGGAGGCUGAGGUGGGUGAAUCACUUGAAGUCAGGAGUUCAAGACCUGCCUGGCAAAACCCUGUCUCUACCAAAAAUACAAAAAUCAGCCAGGCAUGGUGCCUGUAGUGACAGCUACUUGGGAGCCUGAGACAGGAGAAAGGCUUGAACCCAGGAGGCGGAGUUUGCAGUGAACCAAAAUUGCACCACUGCACUCCAGCCUGGGCGACAGAGCAAGACUUCGUCUCAAAAAUAAAUAAAUAAAUAAAUACUUGUUCAAUAUUCGGAUCAAUAUACAAUAUGGAGUAUUAAAGAUAAGUAUAUUCCGGAUACUCUAUAUGUAUGGAACCACAUGAGCUUAAGUGCAGAGGUCCAAAUAAGAAUGUCCGUCUUAUUCUCUGUACUUAACUCGUGUGGUACCAUACAUCUAGAGUGCCCAGGAUAUACUCAUCUUUUUCUCUAGCCAUCUAUAUUAUUUUUCUAUUGAUACAUAAUAAAUUACCACACACGUAGUGGCUUACGACAACACACAUUUAUCAUCUCACAGUUUUCAUGGAUCAGAAGUCCAGAUAUGGCUUAGCUGAGUCCUUUGAUCAAGGUCUCACAAGGCUACAAUCAAGGUGUCAGCUGGGUGGCGCUUCUUUUUGGAGCUCAGGGUCCUAUUCCAAGCUCACAUGAUGGUUGGCAGAAUUCAGUUACUUGCAGCUGCAGAGCUGAGGUUCUGCUUUCUUGCUGGUUGUUAGCUGGGAGCCACUCUUAGCUCCUGCAGGUUCCCACAGUCCCCUAUCAUGUGGCUCCUUUGUAGCCCACCUCACAGCAUAGCAGCUCACAUCUUCAGGGCCAGCAAGGCAGGGUCUGUCAUCUCAUCCUUGUCUGCCCACAGUCAUACAUCUAUAUCUAUGUCUACAUUUAUAUCUGUAUCUAUAUAUACAUCUAUAUCAUCUAUAUAUAUCUAUACUAUAUCUAUAUAUAACUUAUACCUCAAGGGAGUGACAUUCCACCGUUUUUGCCAUAUUCUAUGGGUUAGAAGCAAGUCUCAGGUUCUGUUCAUGCUCAAGGAAUAGGGAUCAUCAACAAGUAUGACUCAACUGGGACUCCCCUUAUGGUAUAUUCGCCACACUGUACAAGUCCUAUUGACUUCAAAGUCAAGCUCAAGUUACAGUCUUCUCCUUUGAUCUCCUAGCACUAGACACUAAACAGAGCAGAACUAAGAAUUUAUCCAGGGUGGUGUUUUUUUUUAAAUCAUUUCUCAUGUCCUGUAACACACACACAUAGGUGCAGGACUAAAUGCUGAAUCCCUACGGCUUGAGAUCCCCUGAGGCUGGGAUCUUGCAGCUAUCUGCAAUCUUUAUCUGUCUUUUGACACACUCUCCAAAUCCUCAACAAAUUAUGCUAAAUUUUCUGCACAGACACUUAGAAUCCUCACUUCUUCCCCAUUUAUGGGUCUUCACUCUAUUUCAAACUUCAAAUAUAUCUUGUGUCUGAAAAAAAACUUUUGGCUGUGCUUCAUGCUUCUUGUCUUUGCUAACUCCACAAACCCCUACACAUGCUACUCUCUGAAACUGUCACCACAGUGAUUAUGCGAUCCCCAAGACACAGGCCAGAUGUCUUCCUUACUUGAAGCACUUACCGGCACUUAUAUAUCUCAUCUUUCAACAAGUACAUAUAUAAAGGCUGAGAAUAAUUUGUGUAUUAUUUUUUGUUUAGGUAACAAAUUAAAAAAUUAAAAUAUCAUAUCCCAAAAUGGAAAUAAAACAGAUAGAAUGCCGAGUAUAUAUUAAAUAAGGCAAGCUAUUUAUGAUGAGCUAACUCACUUGCAAGUUACCAGAGAGCAUGGAGUAAAUCCUUUAUUUCUCAUGUCCUCAUUGUGCCUAAGACUGCGUUUCUGUACACACAUUAAAAAAACAGGAAAUCAAUGGUUCCCAAUGGUGAUGUGUGAACUCUUCAGGAUCUGGAGGAACAUUAUUAAAUUGCUCCAUUAGCUUUCUCUUGUUUGGGUUGAAAAUAAAAAUUGUGAUGCCA